CAUGCAAGUCGAACGAAGCACUUAAGAUUGACUCUUCGGAUGAUUUCUUUUGUGACUUAGUGGCGGACGGGUGAGUAACGCGUGGGUAACCUGCCUCACACAGGGGGAUAACAGUUAGAAAUGACUGCUAAUACCGCAUAACCCGAUAGGAUCGCAUGAUCCAGACGGAAAAGAUUUAUCGGUGUGAGAUGGACCCGCGUCUGAUUAGCUAGUUGGUGAGGUAACGGCCCACCAAGGCGACGAUCAGUAGCCGGCCUGAGAGGGUGAACGGCCACAUUGGGACUGAGACACGGCCCAAACUCCUACGGGAGGCAGCAGUGGGGAAUAUUGCACAAUGGGGGAAACCCUGAUGCAGCGACGCCGCGUGAGUGAAGAAGUAUUUCGGUAUGUAAAGCUCUAUCAGCAGGGAAGAAAAUGACGGUACCUGACUAAGAAGCCCCGGCUAACUACGUGCCAGCAGCCGCGGUAAUACGUAGGGGGCAAGCGUUAUCCGGAUUUACUGGGUGUAAAGGGAGCGU
rnacentral:rRNA from 1 species